GGUUCCAUUCUAUCUUCUGUCUGCAACAAGGAAAUGAAAUUAUAAGAAGUGAUAUGACAGGACCCCCCAGCCAUGAGUGAAGGGAUAUUUCUUGGAGAUGGUGGAUACAGAGAACCCUGUCACCAAAAUGCUCCUUGAGGCAAGAGCUGCUGCUGCUGCUGCUAAGUCCCUUCAGUCGUGUCCGACUCUGUGCGACCCCAUAGAUGGCAGCCCACCAGGCUCCCCCGUCCCUGGGAUUCCCCAGGGUCCUGGCAGUUCUAGAACCCAGAGUGGUCCCACUGUUCCAGUCCACACCAAGGAGCACUAAGCGAGGAGACGGGCAGUCCUGAGCUGCUCCGUUGAGGGACUCUGCAUCCAUCAGGACCAGCCUGGCACUGCCUGCCUCUUUCCAACUCAUCAAGUCCCUACUGGACCAAACUCCUAGAAGAGCUUCCAGUUUCCCCGUGGUGACCAGCCAGCUUCAAAGUGUCGGUGACUAUCUCCAGGGCAAACAGGGGAUCGGGGUGAGGUGGAGAGAAGCAGAUGGGGACACCCAGAUUACAAGAUAAACCAAAAGACCUCCCACCAGUACUGCCCCCCACUUCUUCCCCAACUCAAUGCCAGGUAGCAGUCAUGCUCACCUGGCAUUGAGCUGAGCUUAAGAUGACUUCCCUGAGACCUGGGCUGCACUACCCAGGCACUUGAACUUAAUGGAUCAUGUCCUCCUUUCCUAACAGCCCUCCUAGGUGAAAUUCUUUCUCUAAAGCCCCUGGGUGAGAGCCUGGUCCAUAGUGAGCUCCAAAUGCAUAGCCCUUAUGAUGGGCAGCCUCCGAACCUCAUCCUCUCCUCUGAUCCUCCCCUCCCACCACAUUAUAUGCUUAGUCAUUGUUUUAUUGUCACUGAACUUUCAUUCAUUCAUUGAAUAGAUGGUGUUCAAGCACCAAAUGGCAACCCACUCCAUUGUUCUUGCCUGGAGAAUCCCGUGGACAGAGGAUCCCGGUGGCUACAGUCCACGGGGUUGCAAAGAGUCAGACACGGCUGAAGCAACUUAUUACUUACUAUUAGUAAGUAGUACCAUGUUCCUGGGGCUCUUUCAGGCACUGUGAUUCCAGUGAACAAAACAGUCCCAAACUUCACUCCUCUCAUGGAACUUACAUUCCAAUUGGAGGAGAUAGGUUUUCAGCAAAAUAAGUUUGUAGCUGACCCAGCGCUGAACAUUAUACUGUGAUCAGUGUCACAGAGAAUUGGGAAAGAAGGACAGGGCACAAGGA